CUAAAUUCACAUGAUUGGAUAGUGGCAGAGUGGGGAUUCAAACCCAGCCAGGCUGGCUCUAGGGCUCACAUUCAUUCACCCCAUUGCCCUACCUCUUGGUGUUGAGUUGAGAGUUGCUUCAGUAUCUUGUACAGAGCUGGUUGGAGUGGGUUUAAGAGAUAAUGUGAAGAGAGGAAUGAGACACAGAGUAUAGAUAACUCAUUCAAGGAGAUUUGCAACGAAGGGGAGCAAAGGAAUCAGGUAUAAGUUGGUGGGGGAAGUGGAGUCAAGAGAAAGUUUUACUUUUCCAUUCCUAAGAUGAGAGAAGGAGUUGCAGGUUAGAAUGCUGAUGGGAGUGAUCCAGUAGAGACUAAAAAAAUAGGGAAUACAGAAGAGAAAGGAGAAUUCAGGAGUGAAGUCCUGGAGCAGAUAGAGGGCAAGGGUUCUAGUGCCCAUGUAGAGGCUGUGUCUUUAGACAGGAACAUGAGAAGUUGAUCCACUAACAGUUGGGAAGGUGGGAUAUGCAGUGGAAGUUUGGGGAAGGUCAUUUCUGAGGGAAGUAGGAAGUAAAGUCAUCAGCUGGGAGUAAGGUUAAUGGAAGAGUGGUGGUAUCAGUAGAUUAGAGAAGAUUUGGAAUAACCUACGAAAAUGAUAAAGUUAAUGGAUUUGUGAGAGUGAUGAGAUUUCAUAGACAGCAAAUCAGAAGCUUUAAGGACAUUAAGUGGCUCUCCCCCCCCCCUUUUUUUAAAACAGAAUGAAAUUUGCCAUCUAUUUAUUUGAAAUGAGUCAAAUGUUGGCGGAGUGGGGCUGUUGGCAAAGAAGAAGGAAGGAGAUAGUUUUUCAAAAGCUGAGCCAGAGCUGGGCAUCAGUGAUUAAAAUGGGCAGCCUUCACCUCUCCUGCGCCUGACACAAGGAAGUCCAGAGGAUGGGAGCCAGUGCAGGUGUUCAUUCAUCAGGGUGAAGCAGGUGAGUCAGACGAUGAAACUGAGUUAGGACCUGAGAGGCUGUAACUUGGGCUAGAACAGCACUAGGGCAAGUAGCUCCAAACUGUGCCUGUGGACCCAGAGAGGGGCUGCCGGGUGGCCCCGCUGAGGUGCUUGCGUUAUGUGGGAAGGAGGGCAGAUAUACAUCUAAGCAAACCUGGUCCCCUCUGGUGAUGAAACAGUGUCCUAAGGGCACUGGCUGUGCCCACUGGGGUGUGUGAGUCUCAGAGGCAGAAAAGGUGGGCUGGGGAGUCAGAAGCUGGA
rnacentral:lncRNA from 9 species